AAGCACUUUUCUAUUUAUACAAACAUAGUAGACACAAUUACAUUUAGCUAAAUACAAAGUAGUAGUUACAUUAUUUUGAGACAAACCAAACUACAUCUUAGAUUCUUCUUAUGGUAGUUUUAAUUGAUUGAGGCAUGGCUUUUCAUCGAUCGGAGCGGAUAACCGGUGCAGCGACCUUAAAAUUAUUAACAGCAAAAUUGAAGCGGAACCUAAACUCGUGACUAGGGUUAUAUAUUGCUUUAGAGUUUUUACUAGUAGUGGUCAUGUUGAGAGCAAAAUCAACCGGAUGAAACACAAGUUUAGACGCUUUCUCUUUAGCUUGAACUGCUAUCCCUGCUGCGUCCUUUGCUAAAUCCCCAAUGUUAGCAAAUCUGUUUGCCCAAUUCGGUAGUUUUGGGACCCCUAAUUUCUCAAGGAACUCAUCGCAGAAAUGCUUUGAGUUCCUUGACACCAUAUUGUAUUUGCUACCAGGCCAUGCGUCGCGAAGAUCUUUUAAGAUCUGAUUGACUUUGUGGGCAGAGCACUCUGUUCUGCCCAAUACAAUCUUUUCGCGAUACGUGUAAUUGGGGUUUUUAGUAGCAGGGCAACUGAAAACCCCGCUGCCUAUCACACAGGACCCGUAAGCCCAUUCAACGUUGUCGUAAACUUGGACGGCAGUGUGGAACAUGCCGCCGAAAGAGAUGGUGUCUUUCAGUAGCCUGUUCAUUUGGACUACGCCGAAAUUUACUGCGUCUUGCCCGUCACUUUUGGUUAAGUCGUAAACAUGGAGGAUCACUUCUGCCAUGGACGAUCUCAAAAACUAUGCUUUGU
rnacentral:misc_RNA from 1 species